rnacentral:lncRNA from 1 species
CUCAUCUGCACAAGCUUCUAUCCCUGGGUGAACAUAUUAAAAAUUUCCUUUAAAAGGAAGAAGUUUUUUAUACAACAACGGCAAAAGCAUAAUGAAUCCAGAGAGCAUAUUGUUGCCUUCAACAUGUUAAAUUACAGAGCAUGCAAAAAUCUGUGGAAGUCUUGUGUAGAGCAUCACACGUUUUUUCAGGCGAAGAAGUCACUACCUCAUGAAAAAAAAAUAUUGUCACAUUAUUGGACCCUAGGUUCUAGAAAUCCAGCCAAGUAAGUA